GAUGAACGCUAGCUACAGGCUUAACACAUGCAAGUCGAGGGGUAACGAGAGGGAAGCUUGCCUUCCUUGUCGACGACCGGCGCACGGGUGAGUAACGCUUAUCCAACCUGCCCCCAACUAGGGAAUAACCUUGCGAAAGUAAGACUAAUACCUUAUAAUUUCCUAAGAUGUCAUCUGACGAGGAAUAAAGAUUUAUCGGUGGGGGAUGGGGAUGGGUCGGAUUGGCUGGUUGGCGGGGUAACGGCCCACAAAGGCAACGACCAGUAGGGGUUCUGAGAGGAAGGUCCCCCACAUUGGAACUGAGACACGGUCCAAACUCCUACGAGAGGCAGCAGUGAGGAAUAUUGGUCAAUGGGCGGAAGCCUGAACCAGCCAAGUAGCGUGCAGGAUGACGGCCCUAUGGGUUGUAAACUGCUUUUAUACAGGAAUAAAGUUAGCCACGUGUGGUUAUUUGUAGGUACUGUAUGAAUAAGGACCGGCUAAUUCCGUGCCAGCCGCCGCAGUAA
rnacentral:rRNA from 1 species